CGGAAGGGCUGCGGCAACGACAUGAAUUUCAUGGAGGGGCGGAUGAUAGGGUGAUUCCAACAACACAGAUCUGUGGGAUCUUCAACCAGAAUUAUUCAGGAGAGCAGCAUUGCCAAUGAUGAAGGAGAUGCCACCGCCGUCAAUUACGGUUCUCUUGCCCAACAGUCCAACACUGCCAAUGCACGUAUGAUCUCCAACUGUGCAUCAAGCACACAUCCAAUUUUGCCAUCCUUUUAUCUUAGCUUUUGUUCUGAUUAUGGGAGAUCUCUGGUGGUUUAGCUUUCCUUUCAUUCUCUGUUGACUUCUCUCAUAUCCAGAAGAUGUGAGUAUCCACAUCACCAUGGCUACAUUCAAAGUUACUCAACAAAGCAUUCACAUGUGUGCGUGAAUCCUUAAGGAGUUGAUGCAUAGGGUCUCCUUCAGAGCUAGAAGAAUAAGUGUGAUGGCCUAGAGACCUGGUUAGGGAGCUCCUUUUCUUUUUUUUUGCGCUUUUUUGCAUGUGCACAUAAUCUGUUUUAUUAAUUAAUUUGUGUGGUAGGAUAUUUUCUACUGUUUAACUUUCAAAAAUGAUAUACAGUUGAUAUGAACUACCAAAGGCCAGAGUUUAAUGUUUUCCAGAACUCUCUCUUUAAAAGCAUAGGAAGCCCCUUGCCAAGAAAAAGUACAGUGCACAUUUCAUUCUUUUGUCAACUUUCAUUGUUAUACGUACCUUUGUUUUUGUUGACCUGCUGAGGACAUUUAUUGACCAUGAACCAAUGACAAAGAUGUAGCCACCUUCUCUAUUUCUUUUUGCUGAUCUUGGCUAUGAAACAAAACUUGCUCAAAUAUAUAAUGAGUUAAGGAAAUUCAAUUGUUGGCAUUGAUAUUUGUACAUCACUAGCAUUGUUCAAGAUUCCAGCUGUUUUUACUACUCUGGAAGAAGUGCUAAGCAUGGAAAAAAACACUACCGGACACACUUUGGGUUGGGAAACCUGCAGGAUAUAUUGAUUUGGCUGAUAAAUGUUUAUAUGCUAAUUAUGAAGCCUGCAAUGUUGAUCCUUGCUAACUCUGAUAGAAGCCCCCAUGUCAAAGAGGUUGUGGAACUAGCAUCCUGUUUGCAAUAUGACAUGCUCACAUGGUUUGCGAAUUCACAUGUUAUUUGCACAAUGACUUAGAAAGCCUGAACAACUGUUUUUUGCCUUUGGUUCCAAGGGUAGAAAUGGGUUCAGCAUGUAUUUGUGGUCUUGUGGAGCACUUGCGUUGCGACGUGUAGUUUUGUACAUACAACAGUUGUAUGUGUUACCAUGCUUUUAUACAUAUCGUGUAAACACCCAAUAUGUAAUGCACGCGGAAGAGAAAAAUGAUAUAAACAACAAGAACCCAGACAGUGACACCGCGCGGCGUGUCGCGUGCUGAAGCUUCCUCGAGUUACCUUUUCUGUGAAAAUUAUUUCAUCAGUGGCGGAGUAUCUGUGUAAAUAGUUUUUGAACCUCUAGGUACAUUUAUAUAUAAUUAUAUGUAGUCAUGUAUAAUGUCAUCUCAUGGCAUCCAUUCUUUGCUACGUCAGGUGAUGCUAUUAUUUAAAAUGAUGCAACCAAUACCGUCCAUCAGUAUGUUGCCAAAGUUAGUGGGUUCUCGGCCCAUCAGCAUUCUCCCACCAUCAACAUUAUAAUGGAAAGGUAAAUCUUAUUUGAUAACAUAAAAGAUCAGUAAUGCCAUCUCUAUCUCAGUUUCCUGCAUGGACAGUUCGCUUAGUACAUUGAUGUACUUCAACAUAUUGUGUUGGCCAUGCAGAGUGUGAAGAGUAAUGUAUCCUUGAAUGCUACAGAACUUUGGCUUGGAUAACAAAUGAAUGAGCCAAUUGGUGAACUUUUUUACUCUCUAAAUUGUUCACUGCAAUGCCAUAUAGAUAUCAAAUGGAAGGCUGCAUUUGAGCAUGUCAGUGGUUAUGGCAUGUUGGUUCUUUUGAGCAGGCUAUGUAUAUCCCAGCGAUUAUCAUAUAUUAAAAUUAUUUCCAAAUAGAAUACUUUGCAAAUAAGUUAACCUCUUUAGUGGUUCUUAUGUUAAUAUAGAGUUCAAUAAUUGUGAAUUGCAUUGUGUUUUUAAAGCGAAGUUGUGCACAGAACUUUGUAUGCCAAAAUAAAAUCUUGCAGUUCGCAGACGGGUGAAGUUUGUAGGGUAACUUCCUGUUACCUGUCAUAAACCAUUGGUUAUUAUCUACAGCAUUUAGGCCCGUUGAUUUCUAUUUAUUUCAGCCCUUUGUGGCUAUUAUUCAAAAUAUCCAUAAUUUCAGCCCUUUGUGCCUAAUUUUGUUUUUAUUUCUUGGCUUUGCCUACCAUUCAUGCUCAUAUGCAUUAUUGUCCACAAAAUUUAUUUCCAUGAGACCUUGAUUGUCAGCCACCUGAGCUUUUGGUCACAACUGGUUUACAUAGACUAUAGAGGGGAGAGAGGGAUGAUAGCAAAGCUGAACCGGCAACUGGUAGGCUCUUGAGCGCCCCACCUGGGCGAUGCGCGGUCAUGUGAGCUAGCGAGGAUACUCCCAGGCGGAGAAGGAGCACAAACAUAUCAGAAGGUGUCAAUUUCAAGAGUGCAGAUAUCAGCUCGACCUUCUGAAAGAGUACUGCUUCUUAAUCCUAAGAAUGAGGCCAACCGCAGCUCUCAGUCCUUUCCAAAGGCAAAGCAGAGCUCGCUUCAGUUCUCGGCCUCCCUGUGUCAACCAAGAGGUCACCAUUUUGUUCUUGGCAUCCAAAGAACUCACCAUUUCUACUCUGAAAAAGCCAGUGCCUUGCACUGACAGCCCCAGGACAAGGCAACAACAAGACCAUUUAAGUAAAUGCAUUACCAUCAAUGUUCAUCCGUUCUUCCUAUGUUUUCUGAAAGAUUAUGUUGCGUUUUUUACUUACCUGCAGGUGUUGUUGCUGGACUGUAUGUAGGCAUGGAGUAGGAGUGGAAAUAAUCCACGGCCGCUAUGACUGAGUAGUGAUUCUCUGAAAAUGGAUUUUUCAUGUUUCUUGCGGUUAGUUGAAUCUUACGUGAAGGAAAACAUAUCUACUUGACUGCCUUCCCGCCAUGCAAAACUAUUAUCUUCCCACUUUAAAAGAUGAUCCUUCGGUUACCUCUCAAAACAUAUGAGAAGAUUUGGUAGAGUCACUGGCAUCUCAUAAAUCUUGAUGUUUUUUUUUUACUUUUGUCUCCACACCUUUUAUCCUAAGAUUAUCUCAGUCCAAUAUUGAGCCAAUAUUGAGCUAGCAUUUACGAUUAGAGAUCUUAGCGAUCAAAACAUUAUUGCUUUUGUAAUCAGUAUUAGGCUUGCAUGCUUUGAAGCAUCCUUAAAAAUAAUUGACUCAGAAGUUAUUGGUACUGCUUAGCGCUGCUGCUUAUUACUAUCUCUCUCUUUCUGGUGCUCCCGUACAGAAGUGCCUUCAUUGGAGGCAUCGUAAGGGGUACUCUGAUCUUUUUGUGAACACAAGAUCGCCAAGGACACCAUCACCGGAGGCGCGAUCACUACUGUCGUCGAGUUCCUUAACUACCUCACCUAGCUAUGUAAACAGAGUCACCUAGCUAUGUAAACAGAGUUAGUGGCUUGUGGCAGUGUAUGGUCGGACAAAUACAUGGACAAGAAAUUCUUGAUGUGUUUGUGCUGGUGUUGUGUGCGUGUUCAGCAGUAAAUUGAAUUCCUUCUUUUUGGGGUUUGCAUCUCCAUGAUCUGGUUAAGUGUUGAGGAGAAGCUUAGCUACAUGUUGUGGCAGCUAGGUUGAACAAGUCAUGUGUACACGGUAUGAUUGCACACGAUAUUGGGAUGUCCAUUACAGUGAAUGUUAC